GUUUCUAGGGUGUUCGUCAGCACAUUAGAUUUUCAUUCUAAAGGAAUAAAGUAAGUUUAUUAGAAAUA
rnacentral:tRNA from 1 species